AAGAUCAUACUUCAUAGGAUCAUUUCUAUAGUAUGAUUAGCGAGUUCACUCACUGAACUUCGCAAAGUUCCCAACCACGAUGAUGUGAGAAGGGAUCUCCUCUUGAGCGUGAAGAGGACUUGAGUGAAAGUUUUAUACUUUCAUUGAGUCAUUGAUGAUCGCACCCUUUGCUAUUGCAGCAAGGGGAAGGAAGAGAUUCGUUCUGAGUGGU